AUAUACAAAUAUUAUCAUUUCAGUAUGUAGUCAAUAUUAAAAUAUGUUAAUGUGAAAUUUUAUAUUCUUCUCUUUGAACUAUGUCUUUGAAAUCUGCGGUAUAUUUCACACUUAUAACAAAUCUCAGAUCAGACUAGCCACACUUCAAGUCCUCCAUAGCCACAUGAGUUGGUGGCAAACAUAAUGGACGGCAAAAGUUUAGACCCUCAGCACUGUGGAGGCCCUGGCUAAGAAGUCAUGGCUUCAAUCUGAAAGAGUGGGCAUCCCCUGAAGAGAUUCAAGCCAGGAAGAAACAUGAUAAAAAUUUCAUUUUAGGAAGAUCACUCUGACUUCUACUUAAAGUACAGACUAAACAGGAGUUGAGACUAGAGUUGGAGAGAUCAGUGAGGAGAAGUUGAAGUAAUCCAAAUGUUAGAUAAAAGAUGUCAGCGAUGGAUUUUAGCAGUGGCAGCAGGGAUACCGAGAAGCAGCUGAAGUCAAGAGAUGCUUAGAAGGCGGUAGUAACACACCUAAUCAUCAUUGUUGCCCCCCUACGCACACACACACUGAAGCUACUUCCCACCUGCACACCUUUGUGCAUCUCCUCUCCACCAGUGGAAGCGGAAGUAGUUAGAGGGCAAGAAGCCCACUUCCAGGGUUACUUCCGGCCUUUCUAGCCGGGCAGAGGCCAAGUCGUCUCCUUUGCACGUCGCCUGCAUUGCGGGCUGACCCCUUUUCGGUAGGAGUCCUGCUCUCGGCAAAGGUUCUGUUUUCCUCUGGUGGAGGCUGGGAGCUGCAUCUCCGUCUUCCAACCAGUGGAUUUCGCUGUCAUUUAUCUCUGAUCGGUAAAGUCAGACCCUCCUCCGGGCCGGCAGAGGGCGCGAGAGCUCGUGGCUCGAAACUUAGGAGACUCUUGGACGCGGAAGUGAUGUUGCGCCACCGGAAAUCCUCCGCCUCAGAGUUUGAGGGGCGUGCUGGGGGAGGUUCCGGCGGCUGGAAGUUCAGUGUUCGAGGUUCCGCGAGGCAGUGGUUAAAAGUACCGUUGCCACCCCUGAUUGUCUUGGAUGCUCAAAUGAGAAAACAGCUCUUAGAGGAAGAGUUCGCUCAUAUUCAUUCAGUUGUGUCAUGCUUCUGCUCCAGAAUUAUAUUGGGUUCCCUACUGCCUACAGAAUUAAGUUCAAACUGCUGGCUCUGUUAUCUAAGGCCCUGUAUGAGUACACUGCACUGUGAGUUCCUCGAAGACUCACAAGGACUCCACCUGCAUCACCACAUCUACCAUAGGACAUGGCCGCAGUAGAUAUUGUCAGAAUUGAGUUGAAUCAUCGGACACCCAGCUGGUGGUAGAGAAUUGCUGGGUGAAGUGGAAAAAACUCAUUGUACCAGGCUUACCCAGAAGAUGCUCAAAGGUGUGCAGGAGACCACGGGAGACCCCAAGAACACCCCACACCUGGCUGACCAGGCCCUUUGCGCUGCAGAGGAGGCGGACACAGCUGGAAGGGACAGGAUUUAUGUUGCAC